AUUGAACGCUGGCGGCAUGCCUUACACAUGCAAGUCGAACGGUAACGCGGGGGCAACCCUGGCGACGAGUGGCGAACGGGUGAGUAGCGCAUCGGAACGUGCCCAGUAGUGGGGGAUAGCCCGGCGAAAGCCGGAUUAAUACCGCAUACGACCUACGGGUGAAAGCGGGGGACCGCAAGGCCUCGCGCUAUUGGAGCGGCCGAUGCCCGAUUAGCUAGUUGGUGAGGUAAAGGCUCACCAAGGCGACGAUCGGUAGCUGGUCUGAGAGGACGACCAGCCACACUGGGACUGAGGCACGGCCCAGACUCCUACGGGAGGCAGCAGUGGGGAAUUUUGGACAAUGGGGGAAACCCUGAUCCAGCCAUGCCGCGUGCGGGAAGAAGGCCUUCGGGUUGUAAACCGCUUUUGGCAGGAACGAAACGGCGCGCGCCAAUACCGCGCGCUAAUGACGGUACCUGCAGAAUAAGCACCGGCUAACUACGUGCCAGCAGCCGCCGUAACAC
rnacentral:rRNA from 1 species